rnacentral:lncRNA from 1 species
GGGGCGGAGCGGCAGCCGAGGGAUCCCAGAAGGUUCUGGAAAAGCCGAGGGAAGGCUCCAGUUCUGUGCUGUGCAUCUGGCCCCUGGUGCUGUGGAGCCUUGGAGGAGGCAGUGAGAGAAUGCUGGAGCCCCUGCAGUGCUGUUCUCCACUGCUCCUGACCUGUGCCAGCCCUGGCUGGUCUGCAGUGACCCAUCAGGAGCAGCUGGCUGCAGCUGGAUUUACCUGGAGUAACAGAGAGCAAUGCUCACAGCAUCCCCCCAAAGGCUUUCUCAGGGGCAGAGGAAGACUGAUGGGAAAACAAUCACUCCUGCCUGGAUGGCUUUGCUGAAGGACAGAGAUCCUGUUCCCAGACCCCAUCUGGAGGGGGGUUUAGGUACAUCCCGGUGUCCCUGUGUCCCUCCCACUGCUCCACCUCUGCCGUGUCCCCUGCAGAGCUCUCUGGUGCCACGAUGUCAUCCUGGGAGCAAUUCUGGAGCUUGGGCCCUUGGGGAGCCCCCUUUCACCAGUCGGGCUGUGCAGAGGAUGGGCAGAGUCUCAGCUGAACAGGCUGAGGAGCCCUCUCACUUUUCUCAGCUUUUCUGCUGUAAUAAAUGGCAGGGAUCAAAAUAAAACAGUGGAUGUCAGGAAGAAUCCAGAGCAUUUGGACAUGCAACAAUUCCCUGAGUAUUCAGAAAGAAAGAAAGGGAAUUAACCAGAUCAGAAAGCAACUAUGAAUCUAAAGGAAAUAUAACCACGAUAAAAUUCCUGAGCAUAAAAUUCUGAUAAAAUUCUGGAGCAGCAUGGAGUUUAAUCAUGGAGGAUUUUGAAAAGCUUGUGUAUGUUUUGAGACAUUUUUAUUCUUUCAGGCAGGUAUUUUGAGAUAGAAAGUAAUAAGCUAAUUAAAAUGUACCCAAGCGUGGCU